GUGCCUAUAUCGGCGGUGUCCACCUCUUCCCAUUCCGAACAGAGAAGUUAAGCCCGCCAGAGCCGAUGGUACUGCAGUAAAAUGUGGGAGAGUAGGUCGGUGCCCAAU
rnacentral:rRNA from 1 species